AAAGGAUAACAAGGGGCCAGAGCAGAAGCAUUCACGUCGCGGCCCCUGUCAGAUUCUGGUGAAUCUGCGAAUUCUGCU
ensembl:ribozyme